GACGAACGCUGGCGGCGUGCUUAACACACGCAAGUCGAGCGAAUGGAUUAAGAGCUUGCUCUUAUGAAGUUAGCGGCGGACGGGUGAGUAACACGUGGGUAACCUGCCCAUAAGACUGGGAUAACUCCGGGAAACCGGGGCUAAUACCGGAUAACAUUUUGAACCGCAUGGUUCGAAAUUGAAAGGCGGCUUCGGCUGUCACUUAUGGAUGGACCCGGGUCGCAUUAGCUAGUUGGUGAGGUAACGGCCCACCAAGGCAACGAUGCGUAGCCGACCUGAGAAGGUGAUCGGCCACACUGGGACUGAGACACGGCCCAGACGCCUACGGGAGGCAGCAGUAGGGAAUCUUCCGCAAUGGACGAAAGUCUGACGGAGCAACGCCGCGUGAGUGAUGAAGGCUUUCGGGUCGUAAAACUCUGUUGUUAGGGAAGAACAAGUGCUAGUUGAAUAAGCUGGCACCUUGACGGUACCUAACCAGAAAGCCACGGCUAACUACGUGCCAGCCGCCGCAGUAA
rnacentral:rRNA from 1 species